GCCUUCUUAGCUCAGUUGGUAGAGCGUUGGUCUCAUAGUACAUAUGACCCAGAAUAAUUCUGGGAUAUCCAAAGGUCGACAGUUCGAGCCUGCCAGAGGGCA
rnacentral:tRNA from 1 species